UUGUACAUUGGGUCAAGGUCUCAGGAAGGGCAGAGCAGACAUGAUCAUAUGUGAUUUGUUGUACACACAUACACACACACACACACACACAAUUUGUUCUGGUAAAGCAACUGCAUAAAGACUGAUAGAUGUUUUAAUUUCUCACCUGUGAGUUGACCAGAGCAGCAUAGGUACAUGGUCCACAGACAGAGCCAAUUUGAGCAGCACAGCGAGGGAGUAGAACAGCCGGACUAGGGCCAUGAUCGCACUCAGAGUCUGUAACCCACCUACCUCAACCUGUCAAAGCGCAAAUGGAGGACCCAAGAAAAAUAGAAACUUCACUACCUCGCUGUCAGCCUGGGAGCACAGUGAUCAGAAGGGAACUUCCUUUUUCCUCUUUCAGCUUGUUAACUCUUUAUGAACCUCUCUAUUUUAGAGAGAUGGGUCAAAAACACCUCUCUUCAAAAACACUUCUACACACCUUAAAAAAAUUUCUCUUCA